rnacentral:rRNA from 1 species
GACGAACGCUGGCGGCGUGCCUAAUACAUGCAAGUAGAACGCUGAAGGAGGAGCUUGCUCUUCUGGAUGAGUUGCGAACGGGUGAGUAACGCGUAGGUAACCUGCCUGGUGGUGGGGGAUAACUAUUGGAAACGAUAGCUAAUACCGCAUAAUAACAGUUGUUGCAUGACAACUGUUUGAAAGUUGCAAUUGCAUCACUACCAGAUGGACCUGCGUUGUAUUAGCUAGUUGGUGGGGUAACGGCUCACCAAGGCGACGAUACAUAGCCGACCUGAGAGGGUGAUCGGCCACACUGGGACUGAGACACGGCCCAGACUCCUACGGGAGGCAGCAGUAGGGAAUCUUCGGCAAUGGACGAAAGUCUGACCGAGCAACGCCGCGUGAGUGAAGAAGGUUUUCGGAUCGUAAAGCUCUGUUGUAAGAGAAGAACGAGUGUGAGAGUGGAAAGUUCACACUGUGACGGUAUCUUACCAGAAAGGGACGGCUAACUACGUG